CCUGUGUGUGCGUUUGUUGCUGUGACAACCCCAAAUGACGGAUUGGCAACAGGUGUGGGGGAUUUACUCAGAGAGUUUGCGUGAGGCCUCAUCAACAGUGGAGAGGAUAAAAAGCAAGAGAGAGAGGUGGUCGGUGUGGUUUUUCUCCCUUGUGAAAAGUCGUUUUAUUGGGUGGUAAUAGUUACUGGAGGACGGGUGAAUGAAGAGGAAAGUGUUGCUUUGAUGAGGGAUUCGAGGACAACAGAAGGAGAGUGAAAUACCCUGUUUGCAUUGGAGAGGAGCUAAGUAACUGAGAACUGAGUCUUGUAAUUGCACACGUUUGACACUGAAUUGGAUGUGGUUUGGAGUGUUUGGAUCACGAUCAUAAAUAUCACUGAGUGGAUUGUACUGAUUCAUUACCGAUCUCUUACCUCUCCCUCCUUUAUAAAUGGUGAUGUGAACUCUGCCUGUGACUGUGAAGAGCAACAUCUCAGAACAUCCUCAGUGGCAGUGAGGAUCGCGCCUUCCCCUCGGACCGAAACCCGAAUGAGAAGAGAUGCCCUGUUGAAAUAUUUACUAUCUGCCUCAGAAAAGCCCUGUGCAAUCUGUUUACUUCGAGUCUGCUGUAUCCCUGCCAUUCAACUGUAUGCCCACCUGAGCUGAGAGCAGUGGCUGUUCCCUCUGUCAUGAAUCUGAGGCUGGCAUGCUCUGUCUGGAAUAUCCACUCUGUCUGUGUCAGAAGAAGCCCCGUUCAGCCCGUUGACUUCGAGUCUGCUGUAUCCCUGCCAUUCAUCUGUAUUAAACCCUGCACAGCCUGUUGACCUAGAGUUUGUUGCAUCCUUGUGGCCCACCUGUGCUGAGAGAGAUGACUGUCCUUUGUCACGAACGUGAGGCUGGCACGCUUUGUCUGGAAUAUCCACUCUGACGGUGUCAGGAGAAACCACCUUACUGUAAGACCGUGCACCUGCCGUAUACGUACUCGACUGAUAUCAUUCACCUCAAAUUCCGUACCUGUGGAAGAAGGAAGGCUGGAAUUACAUACUUACCGGAGGAGACUUACCGGACCCCUCACUUGCCAAACACAUCCCCACCUCAAGGCUGUGUAUCUGCCGUGUACGGACCUGACCGAUAUCCAUCCGUCCCAAAUUCUGCAUCUGUGAAAAAGGGAAGGAAGGUUGGAAGUAUUUAAUUAUCAGAGGAGACUUACCAGACUGUUGGCUUGCCGAUCGUAUCCCCACCUGUGAAAUACCUACUUGACCACCCAUCUGUCCAUCUAUUACGGGGCCCGCACAGAGGAAGAGGGCGGGAGAGUCCCCGGUCGCUGCACUGUUCACCUUCGAUUCCUGAGGGCAUCAAAGAUUUUAGAUUAGGAUUUCCAAUUUGCUUUUACUUCAAAAUAAAACUUGUUAAAUUUAUUCUCUGUCUCCGACUCUUCCCUCUGAUACGCUCCUCGAGGUGGUCCUGGUUUAGGGGUGGGCGCAGUCUAGCUUGGGCCUCCCGACCUGUGACUUAUUAUUAUUUUAUUUUUUUUUU
ensembl:lncRNA